rnacentral:rRNA from 1 species
GCAUCUGUGCAUGCAGCAUAUCAAUAAGCGGAGGAAAAGAAACUAACAAGGAUUCCCCUAGUAACGGCGAGUGAAGCGGGAAGAGCUCAAAUUUGAAAUCUUAAAGGGUUUCCCUUUACGAAUUGUAGUUUAAAGAAGUGUUUUCUGUUGAGGUUUUGGUAAAAGUUCUUUGGAAUAGGACAUCAUAGAGGGUGAGAAUCCCGUAUUUGACCUUCACUUUCAACUUUGUGAUACACUUUCAAAGAGUCGGAUUGUUUGGGAAUGCAGUCCAAAAUGGGUGGUAAAUUUCAUCUAAAGCUAAAUAUUGGCGAGAGACCGAUAGCGAACAAGUACCGUGAGGGAAAGAUGAAAAGAACUUUGAAAAGAGAGUUAAACAGUACGUGAAAUUGUCAAAAGGGAAGCGUUUGACACCAGUGUUGUUUUUCUGAAAAUCAAUUAAAGAACUGUUUAUGCUAAGUUGUUUAGACUUUAUCAGCUAUCUGUUUAGUUUUAGGCUUUUCUUUAAUGCACUUUUCAGUUAACAAGUCAACAUCAAUUUCUUUUGCUGUAAAAAAGCUUGAGGAAGGUGGCUUGAGAUUCGUCUUAAGUGUUUAUAGCCUCUUGCCUAUGCAGUCGGAGAGAUUGAGGUCUGCAGCGUAGAUCCUUCGGGGCUAAAUGCAUUUGUGCUAAGUUAUAACAUUUUAUAGACAACUUGUUGACUAUGAUUUGUCUUGUAGCUUACUCGCUUAUGUUAUUUUACCUACGCUUAGGAUGUUGAACGCGCACAGAGUCUC